GUAGAAGGCUCAAGGAUGCCUGGUUGCCCUUUUCUGGGGCCCUUGGCGUUGGUUGCCACACAACCACGCCUGAUUGCCCUUUUUAGGGGCCCUCGGCGUUGGUGGUCAUGCAUGGGCGCUUGCUUGCAUCUUCUGGGGUGUUGAGCGCCAGUUACACCGCAAUCAUGCCUGGUUGGCCACAGUUAAGGCAUUAUCGCCACUCUUCGUGUAGUCACG
rnacentral:lncRNA from 1 species